UGCUGCAUGGCGUGUCGUCAGCUCGUGUCGUGAGAUGUUGGGUUAAGUCCGUAACGAGCGCAACCCUUGUCCUUAGUUACCAGCACGGUUAUGGUGGGCACUCUAAGGAGACUGCCGGUGACAAACCGGAGGAAGGUGGGGAUGACGUCAAGUCAUCAUGGCCCUUACGGCCUGGGCUACACACGUGCUACAAUGGUCGGUACAAAGGGUUGCCAAGCCGCGAGGUGGAGCUAAUCCCAUAAAACCGAUCGUAGUCCGGAUCGCAGUCUGCAACUCGACUGCGUGAAGUCGGAAUCGCUAGUAAUCGUGAAUCAGAAUGUCACGGUGAAUACGUUCCCGGGCCUU
rnacentral:rRNA from 1 species